rnacentral:ncRNA from 1 species
AUAUUUAAAGCGCCAGAACUUAAGAGAGAGUAAAUUAAAUUAUUAAAAUAUUAUGCUCACUCAGUUUUAGUUUAAUUAACUAAAUUGAAGAGUUAUAGUUUCACUUAAGUUGACGAGGUUGGGGAGUUAUCGAAACUUCGGCGGGUGCCCCACGGUAUAGCACUACCGUUAACAACUGGCAAAACUUUAAAGUGAUUUAAAGUACAAAUCCAGU